rnacentral:rRNA from 1 species
GUGUCAGCAGCCGCGGUAAGACGUAGGGGACGAGCGUUGUCCGGAUUCAUUGGGCGUAAAGCGCGCGCAGGCGGCCGCGUAAGUCGGGUGUGAAACCCCGGGGCUCAACCCCGGGCCUGCAUCCGAUACUGCACGGCUAGAGGUAGGUAGGGGAGAUCGGAAUUCCUGGUGUAGCGGUGAAAUGCGCAGAUAUCAGGAGGAACACCGGUGGCGAAGGCGGAUCUCUGGGCCUUACCUGACGCUCAGGCGCGAAAGCUAGGGGAGCGAACAGGAUUAGAUACCCCGGUAGUCC